rnacentral:rRNA from 1 species
AACGAACGCUGGCGGCGUGCCUAACACAUGCAAGUCGUGCGAGAAAGUUCCUUCGGGAGCGAGUAAAGCGGCGCACGGGUGAGUAACACGUAGGUAACCUGCCCCCCAGUCUGGAACAACUAGAGGAAACUCUAGCUAAUGCCGGAUGAGACCACGAUCCCUUCGGGGGUUGCGGCCAAAGAUGGCCUCUACUUGUAAGCUAUCGCUGAGGGAUGGGCCUGCGGCCAUUAGUUUGUUGGUGAGGUAACGGCUCACCAAGGCUGUGAUGGCUAGCUGGUCUGAGAGGAUGACCAGCCACACUGGGACUGAGACACGGCCCAGACUCCUACGGGAGCAGCAGUGGGAAUAUUGCGCAAUGGGCGAAGCCUGACGCAGCGACGCCGCGUGGGUGAGU